GUUAAAGACUAGGAGUACAGUAGUGAGAGGCGUGAGAAGAAAAAAAAAAGGGAAGAUAGCAGGAUGCACAGGGUGCUCUGACUGUAUAACAUCUCAGAAGAUAACAGUGGGUGGUGAUGGAUAUGCCCCUUGACUGCAUUGGAAUAAUCACCUCAUAAUGGAUGCUAAAAGAAAGAUUCUGUACCUGUUAAUGGCAAACUAAACACAAGAUGUUUAAAGGAAGAAGAAUAUAAGUUAUCCUGAACUCCAGAGGCAAAAUCUGAAUGGGGGAGUCAGU